rnacentral:rRNA from 1 species
AUUGAACGCUGGCGGCAGGCUUAACACAUGCAAGUCGAGCGAGCGGCGGACGGGUGAGUAAUGUCUGGGAAACUGCCUGAUGGAGGGGGAUAACUACUGGAAACGGUCGCUAAUACCGCAUACCAUCAGAUGUGCCCAGAUGGGAGUAGCUUGUAGGUGGGGUAAUGGCUCACUUAGGCGACGAUCCAUGGCUGGUCUGAGAGGAGGACCAGCCACACUGGAACUGAUACACGGUCCAGACGCCUCCGGGAGGCAGCAGUGGGGAAUAUUGUACAAUGGUCUCAAGCCUGAUGCAGCCAUGCCGCGUGUGUGAAGAAGGCCUUCGUGUUGUAAAGCACUUUCAGCGAGGAGGCGUUACUCGCAGAAGAAGCACCGGCUAACUCCGUGCCAGCCGCCGCGGUAAUAC